AUGUCUGGUCGUCAGUAUACCUGGGCCAAUAACCGAUCAGUUCUGAUUUUUGAAAAACUUGACCGGGUGCUAGUUACCGCCGACUGGGAAUAUAAAUAUCCCCUAGUCUCGGUACGGGCACUAGAAAGAAUUGAGGCCUUAUCGGAUCAUGCUCCAUUGCUAACCGAUUUUGGACAAACAACUCCAAGUUCUAAUCGCCAACAGUUUAAAUUCGAACUGGGAUGGCUCAUUAGGGAGGGAUUCCUUGACCUGGUUAACAAAGUGUGGGCACGUCAACCUCGCGGCAACACGCCCAUUCAACGAUGGAACAAUCAAAUUCGCACCUUGCGUCGAUUCCUUCGUGGAUGGGCUAAGCACACUGCUGGCAUUUACAAAAAAAGAAAAGUUGCGUCUAUCUACUUUAAUCGAUACCCUUGA
rnacentral:rRNA from 1 species